rnacentral:lncRNA from 1 species
ACGAUUCUGACUGAGAUUUGAACUGAGUCUUAGAUGAUUAUUGCUAGCUCUUACUUACCUCAACCAUAUAGUCGGCCGAGGCCAUGGUUGCAGUCCACAACAACCAUCAUCCAGAUCAUGGCCACAUUCUUGAUGGAUAUUACCUGACCUCAAACUGUCUUUCACGAGACAUAUGAAAUUUUUCAUUGUUUUGCCAGACAAAAUGGUACUAUGGCUAACACUGAGGUAAAACAAUGCGAUGAUAUUGAGAUCAGGUACUUCGAUUUCCUCCC